CUGAGACUGAAAAGAUACUUCACUAUACGGCUUCAUAAGGAUUAAAGGCUCAAAAUUAGAAAUACAAAUAUUAGGCUGUAUAUACAGUCCUAUUACUAAUCAGAAAAAAAUUCAGGCACAACAUAACAUUGAUACUUGUCUUGCGAUAAUACAUAACACAAUGACAUUGAGAAUCAAUAAUAAUAAAAUAGUAUUAUAAUCUAACGGAAAGCUAAAAAAACGACUGCAUUAACGGAAUGCAUUAAACAAGAAUAGCUUUAAUCGAGCAUCAUAAUAACAACUUCAACUUCUGGAACUAAAUAAUGAUAGACGGUCCUUAAAAAACCAUUCGGUGGUUUUCAGGAGGUUGUGGCAUUGCAUGAAGGAAUUGCUUAAUCGAUGAGAUGAAAUAAUUUCAACUUCCAUUAUCAAUGAAGAAAGUUUAACUAAAGACAUUUUUUCAAGCAUUGAAUAGGAAAAGAAAAUCCAUAUGACUAAACAGAAAUGAAAAUGAGUAUGAAAUAGACCGGCCUAACUAAAUUUCAUCGAUUUCUUUAUAUCUCUGCAUUAAAAGACGUUUGUACUCGAUAGGGUCUUUACUCCACAAUUCUGCAGCUCUAAGAAUUGUUAAUAAUCAAAAAAGGUAAAUGAGAUAUUUUCAACAUACUGAGCAUUCAAGGGAGAAGCAUUGUUUGGCUCACCCAGCAGACUUUGUAGAGAUAACAAAAUUGUCUGUACGUUAUAGACUGCUGACCAUUUAUCUUUUAAAAUGUCUAAACAUAUGUUUCCACUCAUAUCGACAUUGGGGUGCCACAUUGGUGAAGUAAAAAUGAUAGUUGGAGGGGAAUAUGGGUAAUUAGCUGGAAAUGAC